AAUCAACGCUGGCGGCGUGCCUAACACAUGCAAGUCGAGCGAGAAAGGGGAGCAAUCCCUGAGUACAGCGGCGUACGGGUGAGUAACACGUGGGUGAUCUACCUUCUAGUGUGGAAUAACCCUGGGAAACCGGGGCUAAUACCGCAUAAGCCUGUGAAGGGAAAGCAGCAAUGCGCUGGAAGAGGAGCCCGCGGCCGAUUAGCUAGUUGGUGAGGUAACGGCCCACCAAGGCGAUGAUCGGUAGCCGGCCUGAGAGGGCACACGGCCACACUGGCACUGAAACACGGGCCAGACUCCUACGGGAGGCAGCAGUGGGGAAUCUUGCACAAUGGAGGCAACUCUGAUGCAGCGACGCCGCGUGAGCGAUGAAGCCCUUGGGGUGUAAAGCUCUUUCGGCAGGGACGAUAAUGACGGUACCUGAAGAAG
rnacentral:rRNA from 1 species